rnacentral:rRNA from 1 species
GGCCUACCAUGGUGGUAACGGGUAACGGGGUGUUAGGGCACGACACCGGAGAGGGAGCCUGAGAAACGGCUACCACAUCCAAGGAUGGCAGCAGGCGCGCAAAUUACCCAAUCCCGACACGGGGAGGUAGUGACAAUAAAUAACAAUACGGGGUUCUUUCGGAUCUCGUAAUUGGAAUGAGUACAAUUUAAAUCUCUUAACGAGGAACAAUUGGAGGGCAAGUCUGGUGCCAGCAGCCGCGGUAAUUCCAGCUCCAAUAGCGUAUAUUAAAGUUGUUGCAGUUAAAAAGCUCGUAGUUGAAUUUCGGGGUUAGUAGGCUGGUCAUGCCUCUGGUAUGUACUGGUCUCACUGAUUCCUCCUUCCUGAUGAACCGUAAUGCUAUUAAUUUGGUGUUGCGGGGAAUUUGGACUGUUACUUUGAAAAAAUUAGAGUGUUUAAAGCAAGCUAACGCUUGAAUACAUUAGCAUGGAAUAAUGAAAUAGGACGUUCGAUCCUAUUUUGUUGGUUUCUAGGAUUGACGUAAUGAUUAAUAGGGAUAGUUGGGGGCAUUAGUAUUCAAUUGUCAGAGGUGAAAUUCUUGGAUUUAUUGAAGACUAACUACUGCGAAAGCAUUUGCCAAGGAUGUUUUCAUUAAUCAAGAACGAAAGUUAGGGGAUCGAAGACGAUCAGAUACCGUCGUAGUCUUAACCAUAAACUAUGCCGACUAGGGAUCGGAUGAUGUUAAUUUUUUAAUGACUCAUUCGGCGCCUUACGGGAAACCAAAGUGUUUGGGUUC